AGUGAACGCUGGCGGUAUGCCUAACACAUGCAAGUCGAACGGCAGCACAGUAAGAGCUUGCUCUUACGGGUGGCGAGUGGCGGACGGGUGAGGAAUACAUCGGAAUCUACUUUUUCGUGGGGGAUAACGUAGGGAAACUUACGCUAAUACCGCAUACGACCUACGGGUUAGAGCAGGGGAUCUUCGGACCUUGCGCGAUUGAAUUAGCCGAUGUCGGAUUAGCUAGUUGGCGGGGUAAAGGCCCACCAAGGCGACGAUCCGUAGCUGGUCUGAGAGGAUGAUCAGCCACACUGGAACUGAGACACGGUCCAGACUCCUACGGGAGGCAGCAGUGGGGAAUAUUGGACAAUGGGCGCAAGCCUGAUCCAGCCAUACCGCGUGGGUGAAGAAGGCCUUCGGGUUGUAAAGCCCUUUUGUUGGGAAAGAAAAGCAGCAGGUUAAUACCCCGCUGUUCUGACGGUACCCAAAGAAUAAGCACCGGCUAACUUCGUG
rnacentral:rRNA from 1 species